AGUGAACGCUGGCGGUAGGCCUAACACAUGCAAGUCGAACGGCAGCACAGUAAGAGCUCGCUCUUACGGGUGGCGAGUGGCGGACGGGUGAGGAGUACAUCGGAAUCUACUUUUUCGUGGGGGAUAACGUAGGGAAACUUACGCUAAUACCGCAUACGACCUACGGGUGAAAGCAGGGGAUCUUCGGACCUUGCGCGAUUGAAUGAGCCGAUGUCGGAUUAGCUAGUUGGCGGGGUAAAGGCCCACCAAGGCGACGAUCCGUAGCUGGUCUGAGAGGAUGAUCAGCCACACUGGAACUGAGACACGGUCCAGACUCCUACGGGAGGCAGCAGUGGGGAAUAUUGGACAAUGGGCGCAAGCCUGAUCCAGCCAUACCGCGUGGGUGAAGAAGGCCUUCGGGUUGUAAAGCCCUUUUGUUGGGAAAGAAAAGCAGCAGGUUAAUACCCCGCUGUUCUGACGGUACCCAAAGAAUAAGCACCGGCUAACUUCGUG
rnacentral:rRNA from 1 species